CGGCCCCCGCGCCUCGGGGCGGGGCUGGCCGGUGUCGGCGGAAGGGCCGCGCCGCGCCGCGCCAUGCUGGCCCUCGCCGGCUUCCGUUGGCUGCUGGCGGCACCGGUGCGGAGCGGCGGCUGGGCCAUGCCCCGGAAGGGAAAAGGAGCCGGGAAAGGGCCCACGGAACCGGCCGCCGCCGCGGGACCGGUGGUGGCGGCGGGCGACGGCUGCGUGAGGGUGGCGGUUCGCGCCAAACCCGGCUCCCGGUGCAGCGCCGUCACAGAUGUGACAGCUGAGGCAGUAGGUGUAGCAAUUGCUGCACCUCCAUCAGAAGGGGAGGCAAAUGCAGAGCUGUGUCGCUACCUCUCUAAGGUGCUGGAAGUGAAGAAGAGUGAAGUUAUUUUAGAGAAGGGCGGUAAAUCACGUGAAAAAGUGGUGAAGAUUUUGGUAUCAAUGACACCAGAUGACGUUUUAGAAAAACUGAAAAAAGAAGCUUCCAGCUGACCUAAAACAAAAGCAGGAAAUGGGACAAUGCAUCUUGGGUUCAGGAUACUCGAGGAAAUGGCCAUGAAACAAUUGUUCCUUCAGCUCAGCCGUGCUCCUUCCCAUCACUGCCUGGGCUGUACAACAUACCCUCCUAGUCGCAUCUUACCUUAACAACAAAAAAAAUGUAAUUCUGCUGAUGGAAGUAUCCUCUGAGCUGCAGAGUUGGAGAAAUAGGAUUUGCCCAUGUUGGCAAUUUAAGGUCUCUGUGGCAUUUAUAAAUCAAGAUGACUUGAUGACUACAGAAAGGUAAAACAUAAAAAACAGGCCUUUGCUGUGGAAAAAAUAAUUUUAUUUUGUAAAAAGAAUAUAUAAUCAUUUGGAGCUGGUUGCACUUGGCAGUGAUUACUGUUACUUAUUUUUCUUGAGCACAUUUUCCAUCAAAAAUGUAUUGUUUCAAGCAUUUCUUCAGAAAUAAACUUCAGACACGGCUUUGGACAAAGAGCAUCUGCUUUCUGACCAGCACGAAUCAUGCUAAACUUGGAACAGGGUGGCCAAAAGCUAUGUGAAACAUGAUAUGCUUGGUUUUUCAACCUUUAUCUCAACAGUACUAAUUAUAAGCUUAAGUAUUUAAUUAAUGUGGAUAUAUAAAUACAUAUAAAUUGUCUUUCCUCACACUGUGCAAGAGCUGUGAAAAAGCUUAGUGUCUUAGUCAUUCUUUUAACAUGUAACAUGUUUCAGUUUGAAGAUGCUGCUUGAAUCCUUGAAGAUAUUUUUUUUCAUGGGUAAGGUUGGGCCUUGGUUAUUUUUGUAGUUCUAUAAAAAAUAACUAAGUUGUUUUCUUAACUUUAACUUACCUUUUGAAUAGAUGAGGUUUUUUCUUCAAACAGUGAGCAGGAGCAGCUUUGACACUUGUUAUUGAUACACCUUUCGUUAGUGAAGCAAGUUUUGAAUUACACAACAUGCAAAAAAAGAAAAGGCAACCCAUACUUGUGGAAAAAGUCAUCCAGCUGCUGAAGCAUUAUUUGAAAAAGAAGCAUCUCUGUGUUUGGAAAAAGGCAAUGUUCAUUUGUAUUCCUGUUGGUCACAAAUAACAAAAAAGUAACCAUGGGAGAUGAUGAUACAAUUUAUCCUGUUGUGUGUUUAUUAGACUUAGAGGAAAACAUAGUUAUCACCGACUUUUACCAUCUCUUGUAGUAAAUUUGUAUUUUAAACAGGAAAGAGUGCUUAGAAAGUCAGGGGCUGAGCUGUAUAGAAAUAACACUUUGGCUGUUUCACUGUUUCAUGUAAGCAAAUGAGGACUGACAAGCACUAAGUGGAGUCUGCACUUUACUGCAGAAAAACAUAGGCCAUGGUAAACACAAAAAUAAAUUCCAGCCUGCGGGGCCUAGUGAAAAAAUAAUCCUCUUGAGAGGCAAGAUCGUUGUGCACCACCAUGGUACGGUUGUCAUCUACUCUUCUGGCAGUGCUGGAGCUGCUGGAUUCUGUUUUGAUCUCCAGGAUUACCUCCGUGUGUCUCAAGUCAGGCUACAUAUUUCCUAAGUACUUUCAGGGAAACCUGAUCUGUCCUAUAAUCUUGCUUAGCUUCUGGGCAUUAGAAUAUCAGCGGUGUGCAUAAUUUAAACAGGGUUAUAUAGCUCUCUUCUAACAUGCAGAGACAAGGGGACAGAUUACAGUAAUUUUUCCUGAUUGGCAAAUGAAAGGCAAGGGGGGUGUAGUUUCAUUAAACUGCUCCUAAGGCGGUCUGUAGCUGCUGUAAGCAGUCCUGUUCUCCCUGCCUUCUCGCUCCAUGUUCCUACCCCCUCUUGCUUGUCAGGGUUAGAGAAGGUGUGACUGCAGAAGUUGGAUCAGCUAACAAAAUUCACCCAGAGUUGUGUAGUUUGGAGACUUCGCCCCCCCUCUCCCCCCCCACCACCCCCAUCCAAGGAAUGAGGGUGGUGGCAGGCAAAACCUUAGCUUAAAUUUGAUACAAAAAGAAUUUUACUUCCAACAUCUCAGUAUAAGCAGCAAAUGUGAACAUGUUUCUUGGUUAAGCAGAAUAUUUACUAUCAAAUUAACAGUACAAGUUUAAAUAUAUUGAAAUAUAUAACCGCUGCAAUAUAUUCAAAUAUAUUUAAACAGUAGGAGAUUAAAUAUAUUUUUUUGUUCUAUAAAUUGAAUGUUGAUUAUGUGUAUAUCAGAAAUGACACUUGUCUUCCCUGUCUGAAAUCUCUACUAGAGAGCCUCUGGAAAGUAGUUCGGCUUCUAACUAGCCUUUCAAAGCACGUCUGCACAUUUCUAUUCCCAGCUGCAGAGCCAGGAUAAAACAGAGGUUGAAUAGUAGUGAACACUUGUAAAAUUGUAUCUCACAAAUCACACAGAUUUUUUUCUGUGUGCUUUCUUUUGCCUUCGAGUAUGUAGUGGCUUAGCUGUGAUUUGAAAGCCUUUAGCAUUUUCUUGAACGCUAGUUAAGAAAUUGUACAAAAGCUACUGAGUUUUCUCAGUUGUUUGCCACAGCACCUGUAAUUCAUCAUAGAAUGGUUUGUGUUGGAAGGGACCUUUAGAGGCCAUCCAGCCCAACCCCCCUGCAGUGAGCAGGGACAUCUUCAAAUGGAUCAGGUUGCUCAUAGCCCCAUCCAACCUGACCUUGAAUGUUUCCAGGGAUGGGGCCUCCACUAUGUCUCCGGGCAGCCCAUUCCAGCGCUUCACCACCCUCACUGUAAAAAAAUUUAUUCUUUGUACCUAGUCUGAAUCUACCCUCUCUUAGUGUAAAACCAUUACCCCUGGUCCUGUUGCCACAGGCCCAGCUGAAAAGUCUAUCCCCACCUUUCUUAUAAGCCCCCUUGAAAUAUAGAAAGGCUGCAAUAAGGUGUCCCCAAAGCCGCCUCUUCUCCAGGCUGAACAACCCCAACUCUUUCAGCCUGUCCUUGUAGGAGAGGGGCUCCAGCCCUCAGAUAAUUUUUGUGGCCCUCCUCCGGACCCACUCCAACAGGUCCAUGUCCUUCCUAUGCUGAGGGCUCCAGAGCUGGACGCAGUACUGUGGGUGAGCGCAUGCUAUUAAUUUAGCAUGUUAAUUCUUCAUAAUCGAUUAAUAGUCCAUACAAAAUUGCUGUCUGUGUUCAGGAAUGGAUUUAGAACUGCUGCAAGAGCUGUAUUCAGAACUUCCUGGGGUGUUCAAACUCUUGGUAAUGUGGCAGUCAUUUUUUAAUACAUAACACUUAUCUUUCUUUUGUUUCCUUCAUUAUAAUAAUGAUGUCAGAGCAAAUGUCAGAUGGAAAAGAUAUCUUAAAGUCAGAUUCCAGACGCUAAAUUGUAAUGUUUACCCUGCAGCCUCCAGCAGAGUUAAAGCAAACAAUUUCUGUAGUGUUUGAAGUUGCAAAUGUUGACGUUAUCCAGCUUCAGUUUUGUCAUCUGUAACAUGCUGUAAUACACAAACUGUAAGUGCAGGCAAUACUUACUGGUUUUAUUUAGCUUCACAGAAACAAUAAACUGGACUUUAUCAUAAAUACUAAUUAAGUGGAAACUGCUAGAGGUAAUCUAUACUGAAUUCUGUUUACCCUUCUGGCCAGUGCUAGGCACACAUUUACUUAGAAAUUUAUUCCCCCCCAAAAAAAUUAGAUUCUUGCCAUAAUUGUUCCAAGGAAAAGUUUUGUAAAUCAUACAGGUCCUUAAAGUUGAAGGCUCUAAUGGUGAGGCAGAUGGAGCCAAGAAUGCAAAGACAGAAACCCAGAAGCUGCACUGGCCUGCGUGUCUCCUGGUCUCAGAGUCAAGAAACUCAGAAUAAGAUUGCUGAGAUCAUGGAAUGUAAAUGUGUGAUUCUAAGUCAUCACUUGCACUUAGGCCAUUCUAAUCUAUCUGCUUCUGCAGUUUGGUCAUAAUGUUGUGGGUUCUUUAUUCACUAGCCGAAAAACACUAAAAAAAAAAAAAAAAGUAGUUAUUGGGCUUCAGGAAAAGCAACAGAUAAGACACGAUCCUUUCCUUCUGCCAGGAUUUAUUUCAACCUGAGAUGCUACUCCAGAUGGUAGGGAGGAAGAGCAUCCUGGCACAGCCUGACUUCCGUGACGUAGCUGGCAGUGUCAGGCUUUUUGCAGAAAGAUAUGCGCUCCCUUCCUGGAGGUGGGAGUCUGGGGUAUCUGGCACUUCGCAUGUGAUUCUGCAUUAAAAGGAAGUCCCACCAUACCAACAUGCAGGCUCUCCUUAGUGCACAGGUAAGAAUUUUGCAUGAUCUUGCAUCCCCCAGUCUAACAGCUCCAACACGUUAACGAGGGUUAAAAAGGGUGCAUUUCGUCCAGUAGAACUCCUUAAGGAAAAACAAACCUCUCACUAAAAGAUUUCUAAGGUUAAAAAACUGAAUUCAAGGCAAAUGCUUCAGGGCGUAGGAUAUUAAAAAAUAUAUCAUCAGAGUUAACUGUUAUAUGUAAAGCAGAAAACAGAAAUACUUAGCAGGUGAGUGGAGACACUUGUGCCACUGCUUUUGUAUCACAGACUGUGUAAAAGCUAUGUGGUAUGUGUUUCCAAGAUCAACAGUAAACAUACUCUUUAGCUCUUAAAAGCCUCUUAUGAGCUGGGAGACUGCUUUUGACUUCUAUGUUUGUCCUUUGGCCAUGACUUCUACAACAGUCAGCAUGGAUGGUUCCGUGUUUCUGUACAUGGACCCCGGGACUGAUGUACAACAGCUGAAGAAAAUGUCAAGUACAAAGAAAUGCGCUGCUCUUCUGAUGCAAAUUAGCUGAUCACGUAAAUGGUGAAACAGAACUUUGAUGCUAUUACAGUAGAACAUAAGAUAGUGGAUUAACACUCCAGACUUCUAACUAACCACAGCUUGUCUUGUCCUCUGGACUGUAGCCAAGUAGGCCAUUCUGUCUUAAAGCAGCAGCUGUGCAGUAGUAAUGCUUACCUGUCAGCACUGCUUCUUAUGCAGCUGUCAGCCUAGGUGACAGUGCUGCAAUUUGAAUGUUUCAAAAGUAGGUUUCGGAAAUACUCAGAAACAUCGUUACACAUGAACUAUACUUUUAUUGUGUGAACACUUAAAAAACCACAGAACUUAAAUUCUAAAAACUGCAUAACACUCUGCACUGCUUAUGCUAUUUCCUCACACACACAAAAAAAAGUACAGAACAGUACUGAUUAUGGUUCCUGUCUUCUAUAACAUGCACAAAGUAUUUCAUACAAACUAAUUACAAUUAUCAAAUUUUACAGCUUUACUGAAGUGGGAAUUCCAAAAUGUUAUGCACAUACCAAAUCUAUUUUAAGGUGGUACAAAUUAACCCAAGUUUGAUAUCACUUCUCAGGUAAAACUUGUGUAUCACUGAACUACUACAAUAAGAAGAUACAUGUUUAAACAACUUAAUUUUUAUUCUAACUUUUAGACCGUGUUAAGAAGCAUACUGCACAUAAAUUGAAGCCAUUGAGUCAACAGACACUAUGCUGACCCCAUAAAAUAUUUCUGUAAUGGCAUUGCUCUUCUCAGCUUUAAGGCAUCUGAAAUUCAAACCAAAUGGAGCUUUUCUCACUAUCAAAACCCAAACUAAAAAAUUCUCUCCAGAGACAGACACAGUAUGUCACUUUCAAAAAGAUGCAUCUUAAGGCAAUGUGCCACUGCUAUGGGCUGCACACAAACCACAGGUAUUUUCCCCUGACCUGUUGUGUUUUUUAAAACGUAACAGAGAGAAAUCUUGGUGUUGGAAGAAGUGUAUGUGUACGUAUUCAGACAAAAGAAUGAGAUAGAAGUUUAAUCUAAGAUCUACAGACGCUAAACAAACUCUGUAUAAUACACUUCUAUUAUUCUAAAAGGUAUUCCCUUUUUCAACUCACACUACAGACAAACAGCAAGGGGCUGUAAUACUGAUUCUUCAGUUAUCUAUAAAAAUGUGGAAAAAUAAGAAAACUGAAGUCUAACUGGAUUUGUUACAUAGCAUUACUGGACUUUCAAACCACAGGUAUCAUCAGUAGGGAUGGUAACGAGGCCCUGGGUUGUAGGAGUUGUAGCCAUAUUGUCCGUAGUGGGAGGAGUACGAUUGUCCUUGUCUGUGCUGCUGGUAGUUAUUACCCCAACUUCUUUCUGGCCUCUGGUUAGAUCUGUAGUCACCUUGCCAGUUGUAUCUGUCCCCUCUAAAAUAUCUACCAUCUUGGAACCUGCAAUGAACAGAAA